rnacentral:rRNA from 1 species
ACAUACAAUAAGCGGAGGAAAAGAAACCAACAGGGAUUGCCCCAGUAACGGCGAGUGAAGCGGCAACAGCUCAAAUUUGAAAUCUGGCCCCAGGCCCGAGUUGUAAUUUGUAGAGGAUGCUUUUGGUGCGGCGCCUUCUGAGUCCCCUGGAACGGGGCGCCAGAGAGGGUGAGAGCCCCGUACGGUUGGACGCCUAGCCUUUGUAAAGCUCCUUCGACGAGUCGAGUAGUUUGGGAAUGCUGCUCAAAAUGGGAGGUAAAUUUCUUCUAAAGCUAAAUACCGGCCAGAGACCGAUAGCGCACAAGUAGAGUGAUCGAAAGAUGAAAAGCACUUUGAAAAGAGGGUUAAAAAGCACGUGAAAUUGUUGAAAGGGAAGCGCUUAUGACCAGACUUGCGCCCGGCGAAUCAUCCAGCGUUCUCGCUGGUGCACUUCGCCGGGCUCAGGCCAGCAUCGGUUCCCGCCGGGGGGAUAAAGGCUUCGGGAACGUAGCUCCUCCGGGAGUGUUAUAGCCCGUUGCGAAAUACCCCCGCGGGGACCGAGGACCGCGCUUCGGCAAGGAUGCUGGCGUAAUGGUCAUCAGCGACCCGUCUUGAAACACGGACCAAGGAGUCAAGCAUUAGGGCGAGUGUUUGGGUGUAAAACCCGCACGCGUAAUGAAAGUGAACGUAGGUGAGAGCUUCGGCGCAUCAUCGACCGAUCCUGAAGUAUUCGGAUGGAUUUGAGUAAGAGCCUUACCGCUUGGACCCGAAAGAUGGUGAACUAUGCUUGUAUAGGGUGAAGCCAGAGGAAACUCUGGUGGAGGCUCGCAGCGGUUCUGACGUGCAAAUCGAUCGUCAAAUAUGAGCAUGGGGGCGAAAGACUAAUCGAACCAUCUAGUAGCUGGUUACCGC